CAGUCGCCACGGUAAUACCGAGGCCUCAAGCGUUGUUCGGAUUCAUUGGGCGUAAAGGGAGCGUAGGCGGUCGGGUAAGUUGGAUGUGAAAUCCUGGGGCUCAACCUCAGAACUGCAUUCAAUACUGCUUGGCUAGAGUAUUGGAGAGGUGAGUGGAAUUCACGGUGUAGCAGUGAAAUGCGUAGAUAUCGUGAGGAAGACCAGCGGCGAAGGCGACUCUCUGGUCUGUAACUGACGCUGAGGAGCGAAAGCGUGGGGAGCGAACAGGAUUAGAUACCCCCGUAGUCCCUGUCUCUUAUAC
rnacentral:rRNA from 1 species